rfam:Asian citrus Psyllid, Diaphorina citri - Florida Strain, whole genome shotgun sequence.
GCUCCCAUGGUGUAGUGGUCACUGCGCUCGCCUUGCACGCGGGAGACCUGGGUUCGAUUCCCGGUGGGGUCA